rnacentral:misc_RNA from 1 species
GCCAGUGGGAAUCGGAGAAUUCCCUUGUUAUGUCUUUUGACUUGUUAAUUUGAAGCAGCCUCAGAUAGCCCAUGGGUAUUUGCUGUUGAAUAGUGCAACAGCUAUUUGGAAUGCAGUUUCCCAAACCUAUUCUCAGAUGGGCAAUGAUUGAUGCAUAAAUUUAUAAGCUUUGAAAUAGGGUCCAUAGUACGAAACAAGGUGAGAUUAACAUUGCUUAGUACUUCACUGAAUUUAGUGGUUUAUGGCAAGAAUUGAACUAUUAUCAGGAUUUUCAUGCCACGUGUACUAUUGAUUCUGUUAAGUUCCAAAAACAUAUUAAAAAAGAGCAAAUUUAUGACUUUCUUAUUGGGUUAAUCAUAGAGUAUGAUUAGAUUCAGGUCCAA